CUAAGCCAUGCGAGUCAUUGUAGCAAUACAAGGCAGACGGCUCAGUAACGCGUAGUCAAUCUACCCUAUGGACGGGAAUAACCUCGGGAAACUGAGAAUAAUGCCCGAUAGAACAUUAUGCCUGGAAUGGUUUAUGUUUCAAAUGAUUUAUCGCCAUAGGAUGGGACUGCGGCCUAUCAGUUUGUUGGUGAGGUAAUGGCCCACCAAGACUAUUACAGGUACGGGCUCUGAGAGGAGUAGCCCGGAGAUGGGUACUGAGACACGGACCCAGGCCCUAUGGGGCGCAGCAGGCGAGAAAACUUUGCAAUGUGCGAAAGCACGACAAGGUUAAUCCGAGUGGUUUCUGCUAAAGAAACCUUUUGUCAGUCCUAGAAACACUGACGAAUAAGGGGUGGGCAAGUUCUGGUGUCAGCCGCCGCGGUAAAACCAGCACCUCAAGUGGUCAGGAUGAUUAUUGGGCCUAAAGCAUCCGUAGCUCGUUUUGUAAGUUUUCGGUUAAAUCCAUGCGCUUAACGUAUGGGCUGCCGGGAAUACUGCAUAACUAGGAAGUGGGAGAGGUAGACGGUACUCGGUAGGAAGGGGUAAAAUCCUUUGAUCUAUUGAUGACCACCUGUGGCGAAGGCGGUCUACCAGAACACGUUCGACGGUGAGGGAUGAAAGCUGGGGGAGCAAACCGGAUUAGAUACCCGGGUAGUCCCAGCUGUAAACUAUGCAAACUCAGUGAUGCAUUGGCUUGUGGCCAAUGCAGUGCUGCAGGGAAGCCGUUAAGUUUGCCGCCUGGGAAGUACGUACGCAAGUAUGAAACUUAAAGGAAUUGGCGGGGGAGCACCACAAGGGGUGAAGCCUGCGGUUCAAUUGGAGUCAACGCCAGAAAUCUUACCCGGAGAGACAGCAGAAUGAAGGUCAAGCUGAAGACUUUACCAGACAAGCUGAGAGGUGGUGCAUGGMCACGU
rnacentral:rRNA from 1 species